GAGACUGAGGAAGGGCUUCUCAGAGCUGGGAUCAGAAUGAACAGAUGGAGCCAGCCGUGGAGAAGCGUCCUAACCUGAGAAACCUCUGCGAUGGGAGACGAGGUCCAGGCCCCGGAGCCGCGGCCAAGGCAGCCAGUGUGCCUGGGGCCGCCACGGCUCAGGUGUGAGUUCAGCAAGGCUCGCAUGAUGGUCGUCUUUGGGAAAGAAAGCUGGUUUUUCUGGUGUGUGUGGGCGGCAGUAUUGAGCUGCCAGGGUGUCUGGACCCACCCUGCCCGUCGCAGCACCACGUGGACCACCGGGGCCCCAAAGUGGGCCAGGCCAAGUUUUGACGCGCGGCAAGCAUGAAACACCCAUUGCAUCCCAAAGCCAGAGCACGAAAGAAGAAUGUUCAAAGCCACACAAAUAACUUAUGCAGUGAUUACAUGUUGAAAUGAUAAUAUUUUGGAUA